UUGCAUACGAAAACUCGGUCUUUGUUCGUGUUCUCGUGUUUGAUUGGGGAGGAAUCGGGUUCCCUGGACAAAAGCAUUAGGCAAUUGACCAAGUCUAAGGUCUCGUCUUGCCUGCUUCUCUUCAUGGCUGACGGGUUUAAGGUUUCGGGUUUAGGGUUCAGCUCGCAGGAGCAAAGCGAAGAAGUAAGCUGGAAAGGAAAGAUUUGGAAGUGGAUGAGAUUUGUGUGAGUGUUUUCGAAACUUUUAAGGUUGUUCUUGCUGAUGCUCGAAGUGGAUGGAAUGAGAGUUGGGAAGUUAGAGGGGACGUAUUUAUAGGAGGGAGGUAUGUUUUGCAGACUUGUGGCUUACGGAGUAAGCGAAGUGGUGCUAGUCUUGGGGGUUAAGUAACGGAACAGUUUGGAUAAUUUUGUUAAAGUGUUUUAAAUUUGAGUGGUGAUUGUGGUUAGCGCCGUCAUUGUUAAGUUCCGAUGGCGUCACCGCGUUGCUGUACUAAGCUUCCCGAAGCAGUCGUUUUGUUGAGGCGAUCGGUUGGAACUCUGGAAUGUUAUAUUUUUGUUGGUCAAAACUCUGGAAUGUGCCGAACGUUCUAGAUCCUUUACUCGGUAUCCAUGGUCACACGCAUCCAAGGCGCGUGUCAAACAUAAACUAGUCUUUUUCUUUUUCAUAUUUUCUUUUGGGUUUACAAAUAAGUUUUAAAUGUAGGUGUGCGGAAAGUUGAGUGGUAGAGUAUUUAUAAAUUUUUAAUAUUUAAUACUGUAGUUUUUCAUGAACAAUUUAUAAUAAAUUGAGUAUUGUUGCAGUCCUAUUAGAUUAGCGAUGUAGUUGUGUAAAUCCUAGUAUAUUUUGGAAUAUCUCUUAUGUUCCUAUUAGAAGUUGAUUACCUAUUAAAUGUUGUAAUCAUAAAGGGAAAUUUUUUUACCCAUCCUACUACUAUAAUUAAAGGCACAAUGAGGUGGAAUAGAACACAUCUACGAUUACACAUCUCUCAUCUUCUCUCUCUAGCCGCACUCUCCCCAUCUCUCUAUGGCCUCCAUAAUUGUUUAGUAAAUUAUGCUUACAACACGUUAUCAGCACGCUCUUGACACUACGCUAACAAGAGAGUUUGAUCUUCAAUCAGGGGAGUAUUACGUAAUCAUUCUUCUUAUGAUUAAUUAAUUAUUUUAUUGAAUUGAUCUACAUGAUAUUGAUUCAAUUUCAUUUUUCUGUGUUGAACGUGAUACAACGCAUUGGAGAUGCAAUUCCGGCUUUCUGAGAAGAAUUUUCUACAAAUUCAAAGGUUUUUGUCAUUUUCUGCCAAUUAGGUACGCUUAAAAUAAAGUAAAAUAUUUGAAACGAGCUUGAAGCAUGAAAACAUUCUCCAUGAUGCAUGAACUCCCCUAUGUUUAUAUUUUCCUUCUGAUAUAUAUAUAUAUAUAUAUAUAUAUAUAUAUAUAUUGUAUAUGUUCAUAUAUUUGUCAAUAUAUAUAUUUGUUUCAUGCAUCGCAUAAUUAAAUUGUUAUGUGGAAUAUGUAAGUCAAAAUAUCAAAUUAAAUUAGAAGCAAUUCUAGGGUUUCUUAAACCCUACCUAUGUUGAAAAAUUGUGGGAAUUUGGAUAUGGUAUGGCACCACCCAUUGCGGCACAAACUGGGCAGCAGCCCUCUGGGCUUUGCUGCAUUCGCAUGGACCUUGACUGCAGCUUUGCUGCGAGCAUAUGCACACCUCAGGCCUUUGGCCUGGUUGGGUUGUCUCGGGCCCAUAGUCCCCAAUCAUCAAGGAAGUCUGCAACUUUUCUUUUUGGACCCCCCUUUGCUCUCGGCCCAUGCCAGCAAGCUGUCAUGCUUGCUAGGCCACUGUUCCGCUUGCACCAAGGCUUAUUGCCUACUCCAGUAUCAACCCAUAUACAUGGGUUUGGUCCCUGCAUGACGCCAGCCCCUAUGGCUGGGCUUCAGUGCAUUAACAGGCCAUCAAAUCUGCUGGGACUUGUCCCGUGCCAUCCCCUUGGCCCAACCUUGAAACCCAGCUACGGCUGGGGUUUCUCUCUCACCCCCGUGGCCUACAACCCACUCCCAAGGCCAUUUAGGGCCUUGUCUUUUCCUCAAGGCACCUAACCCGAGCCCAAUUAUUUUUGGGGCAAUAUUUUUCGACCCAAAUGCUAUUAUUUUAGCAUUCUAAAUAAUUUUAACCCGUAUGUUAAUAUUAUUUUGCUUCUACAAUAAACCAUGUAUGGCCCGAUUUAUUGAAUUAAUUAAAAGUGACUUGCAGUCCAUUAAUCUGAAAAUGAAUCCAAAAUUAUUGACCUGAAGAUUACUUUUGGACAUUAACGAUUCAAUAAUUUAUUUUUAUACUUUGAACUGUUGACUUACGUUCGUAGUCCUGAAGCUCUCAUACUUGAGUUCCUGAAGAAACUCAAAUCCACUACACUUAGUUGUAUAUUGCAUUAUGUGUUCUUGCAGGAACCUCUAUUUUACAAACUAAACGUUCAUAAACUAAAUUGAACCUAUAGUUUCAAAUUUGGUGCCUUUGAAACCUGAAGUUUUCAUAAAACAAUACACCCAUGAAAACCCAACAUUUUUCAUGAAAACCAUGUCUUAGAACUCGAAUGUUCUAACUUUGAUGCUUAUGGAUGAUUCAUUCCCAUAGCACCAAUCACAACCUUGUUCCCUCCAAUUUGGUGAAUUGUCAAACUAUCACAAGUUCAAUUUCCCUUAUUUGGAUGUUUGUAAAAGAAACCACUUUAUGUGGGGUACAAGACGUGAAUAUCCACUUGACUAUCGAGAAGCUGAGAAACCAUUGUAGCAAAAAAUGGCAUGGAAAAGCUGAAUAAGCCUCUGCCAUAUCUUCAUUCGAAGACUUAUACUCAAAGCAUUGCAAAUGGAAAUACCUCCCGAUCGAGGAUUCCAUGGCUCUUUGGCUCGUUCCUACGGACUGUCUAAUCAUGAAAAACAUUACCUGAAGUACACCAUGAUUCUAAAGUCAUAAAUCCGAUCGAAUUUUGAUUGGAGAAUACUUUUCUCGUCCUUCCAUGUUUCUAACUCGCCCCUGAAGCAGCAAUGUAGAAAGCGGAAGUUUACCAAAUUCUCGAAUCUGAUUACUACCACAAACGUGAGAGAAAGGUAUAGACCCAAUUCGGUUGGAGUCUAGUGAAUAGCUAGACCCAGUUCGGGCAAAGCCUACCUAAUGGUGAUGCACUGCUUUGGUAGGGAUCCACCGAAUGACAUAUUCUCUCAUAAUCCAAUUUCUAGUUUGUUUUUAUAACAUAUGGUAGAAUCAGGGCUUGCCAAGGUGUGGCAUCAUGCCCGAAGCAUGAUCUUUGGUACCUAAGACCUAAAACUUCAAGAAUAAGGGAUAGUAUUCCCAAACCUCAACCCUACAAAAUUUACUUCCGUCUUGAUGGAAUAGAUCAUUGGUUAUGCAUUUGUUCAUACCCCUACCAAUGUUGUUGAGGAGUACCAUUCUAGUAGUCAAUAUCUGAGACUAAUUUUGCUCCACCAAACACCGUUGGAAGAGCAGAAUUUUGACAUGGAUGGCCUUGUUGGCCGAAGCCCCUUAGUAAACCAUUUACUUUGUGAACAUUUUUCCAUGUUCUUGGAUUCACGUUUGGUGUAUGUUUUACUUAGGGACAAUCUUAUUGAUAUUGUCCUCGAAUAUGAGUUAAUUGAAUCAUGUUUCUUAAUACAUGUGACCGAUUCAAUUAAACACGUGAUUAGGUAGGAAUGUGGGAAAGUUAGUUCUCUGGAUGAAUGUGUACUACGCACACUAACUUUACACUUAAAUCACAUAUCUAACAGCGACUUCAGGUCUAUCCAACCUGAUUAAGAGCAUCGGCACGCUUCUCGUUGUAUGAAUAGUAUUGAAUCACCAUUUAAGAUCUUAAAUUCUCCAUCAGGUUGAGUUUUUAAGGAUAUUCGAGAUGACAAUGAUCAUAAAUGAACCACUAAAGAAAACAUAGUGAAAUAUAUUUGCACCACCUCUAAAAAUGAGCCUGAAGCUUUAAUUUAGGGCCAAUACGUUGUCUCCCAACUGGGAAUGCACCACAUGUGGCUGGCCUGAAGCCCGGUGAUUGAGCAGUUUACUUGCUUUGGCACGACCAUUUGGGACAUUUAGGUCGAACAAUGAUGCUACAACGCAUCUUCUUACCCGAAGCAAGGAUCUCGUGCCUACAAGCACACUUUGCCAAGACUACUCAUUAGGGAAAUUGAUUUUCUAUAUCAUUUCUCGCAAAUAUACAAAAUCACUCUUUUUACAGUGGAUUCAAGGGAAUAUAUGUGGACUAAUCUAACCAAAAUGUGGACCAUAUAAAUACUUAUGGUUUUGGUUGAUGAAUCGACAAACUGGUCCCAUGUUUGUCCACACACAUUGUUGCUAAACCUCUUGGCCGAUUAAGGGUUCACCACCUUACUUAUCCCUUAAGGUCCGGAAGACUGGAUAAUACCAGAGAGUGCAUAUCAACGGUUUUCAAUAAAGUAUUAUAUAUAUUUUGGGUUUAUAAUCGAAUAUUGAAUUCCCAUGUUCACCCCAAAUAGCCUCGCCUAGUAAUCAUAAAGCGCAAUUUAAAUGAUCACCCGGAUUUUGAUAAAUGUACCAAGUUUUUGGUUUCUGCUUAGGGCUAUGCAAUCUUGUACGCAGUUAUGUUGGUCCGCAUUGAGGCCCAUUGCCACCCAACCUAUAUGACGUUACAAUUGGUUACUAGGUAUGAACCUGACGAUUUUCGUGUUUACGCAUUUAGGUAAGCAUUCCAUGUGCUAAGUUGCGCCACCGCAGCGUACCAUCAUGGGUCUUUAAAAAAGGAUUUGUAUCUUUUGUCGAUCAUGAUUCUCCUUCACAUUAGCUCUCUUCGAGCCCUUGCAUGCGAUAUCUUUACCGCUCAUUUGCGGGUUGUCACUUUAAUGAGACAGUUUUCCCGCCAUUAGGGGGAGAUAAGAAUGUCAGCGUUCUUGGAGAAUGGGGCGAAUUUGCAUGGACGUUGCCCACUAUGUCUCAUCUCGAUCCUCAUACCGCACAAGUGUGAUAAGCAAGUGCGAUGAAUUCUAGCUUUCAGAAUGUUACUCCAGAAGCAUUCUUCUGAUCUAGUUAAAGUGACAAGAUGCCUGCAAGGAUAAACGUACUUAACAGACGUCGAGUCAACAUCCCUGGAGGGGGUGCCACCCUGUUGGAUGGUUUGGAAGUCCCUUGGACGGUCCGGUAUACCGGUGGAUAACCAAUCAAUCUAUCUUGGCCUGGAGCACGAUAGAUCAUUCGGUUCAUAGGAUUCAUUUCCCUAGAAGAGGAAGAUAUGGCACAACAAUGAAUCUAAACUUGAUCGUUGUCUCAAAUCAUUUCCAUCUCAUGAUAUUAAUCCGGAUUACUCCCGAGACUUGAAGUUCUUGGUCUAGUAUACUAGUUUGGAUGAGCAAAGGGAUUUGAAAUGAGAUUACCAUCGAUGAUGUUUCACUUAUAUGAUAGCUACCGACAUAAAUGAAAAACGACGAUAUCGAACUGUGUUCCAUUGAUUAAGUGACAACUUAGAACUGAUUGGAUAACUAAAGUUACAAUCCAGGUCAAAUUCCUUACCAAUGUGUGUUUUGGACCUGUCGUUCCUACACUGCCCAAGGUAACCCUAUUGUGUUACAAAUGGGAAAGGAAGCGUUAUGAAAUGAAUGAAAUAGUGUGAUAUGAUGCACGCCUUACGGCACAAGGUUUCUCUCAAAACAUCAUGUGAUUGAUAGCAACAUUAUGAAAUGUGGUUAGUAUUUUCUCCAUGGGGAUAUAAAUAUGAAGAUUUACAUGUAAGUUCUCGAAGAAUUACAUGGGCCGGUUCAAAUAGUUCCAAAACCACGGAAUACCCUCUUAACUUGCUUGAGGUGUUCACUUACAAUCCGACGGAUGUGGUAUACCCGUCUAAGUGAUUAUUUGAUCAGUCAGGGAUAUGAAUUAUGCCCUUGUGUGUUAAACUAUGAAGCCUUAUUCCAAAUUGCUAAUGUUACAGUCUAUGUCGUUAACAUGAAUCUUACUAAGACUUCGGAAGAGCUUGAGAAAACUGCCUUGCACCUGAAGAUGGAAUUUGAGAUGAAGGAUCUCGGGAAAACUCGUUUAUGUCUUGACCCGAAAUUGAAGCAUUGUUUUGACGGUAUUUUUAUCUACCAGUCGAACUACACCCCGAAUGUGUUACCUUUGAGUAUACAUAUGAUCGUCCAUACAUUAUAUGCAAAUGAGACCCUUGAAGAGGUUAUGGAAUACAAAAUUCCAUAUCUAAGUUCAACUUUGCGUUUCGUCAUACUUAGCUCAUUGUAUUUAGACAGGACAUCUCUUUCGCAGUUGAUCUUGGUAAAGAUGCAGCAUCGCGCCUACACGCAACCACUGAAUUGGUAUUAAAGACGUACCCUGAAGGUACUACGAGGGCAAAUCCUAAUGCAUCUCGAGAGGAUCCAACCCCCUGAUCCUCAGAAUGAUGUUUGCCUUGUUUGUUAUGCUGAUGCAUGUUACUUAUCAAACCAGCACAAGGCAAAAUCCCCAAAUGGUUAUGUUUUUACCAUUAGGGAUAUUGUAAUAUCUUGGAGGUCCACGAUAUGACCUUAGUUGCGAAAUCUUCGAAACGUUCCAAGACUCACCUCACUUCACUGCGCCACAAGUGAGACAUGGUUAGAAGUUCUUGUUGAGCAUAUUCGAGGUAGGGCUGGGCAAACGGGUACAAGAACCGCGGGUCGGGGCAGGUAAUGACGGUUCAGGACGGGUACGGGCCGGUUUCUACUUUUAAAAAAGAAAAACGGGACGGGCCGGGGCGGGCCUUUGUGAUUUUCGGUUCGGGCUGGUUCCUGGAGUAUAGGAACCGCGGGUACCCGGACCGGCCCGUUUGUAAUUAAAAUGAAUGGACCAGAUUGAUGAAUAAUCUACCAUAUCUAAUAUGAACCGUUGUUUUAGUUUUGCCUUAAGUUCUCUAGUCUAUCUCUCUAUCACUCUAUCUCUCUCAUCCCGAUUCCCUGACUCUCACUCUCGUCUCGGCCCUAUUAUGAACACCGCAAUCUUAUCUCGUCUCGGCGACCCGGAAGCGCAAGUGUUCUUCGCUGGAAGUAUUUGUUUCUAUUCAUUUUCUUUUCCGAUUAUCCAAACAGAAGCUAAGAAGAAGAAUCAGUCAGACGAAAUCUCACUGACCGGAGCGCCCAAUCCAAUGGCGAUUUCCGUGACGGCGUCCACGAUUCCUUGUCUCAGCUCUGACCAUAGGGCUCGCAUAGUUGCGGCGGCGGCAUCAUCCUUUUCUUCUUGUUCAAAGCUAUCCUCCUUGACUUCUCUACGAUUUCCAUCACACCUUCGACACGUUCGGAUCGGAACACGGGACUCACGGCCUCGGAUUCUUCCUCCGGUAAUCAAUUUUCCAAUUUUGUAGUUUCGCGGUUUGUUUGUUUCCCGAGAAAAUCAAGGAAAAUAUUUAAAAUUUCUGGAGCUCGCAAGUUAAAUUCCUUUUCUGAAAUUUCUCUAGUGGAUUAAAUUGCAAAUUUUAAUUUAGGGAGCAAAGCAUACAACUGGAAAUCUUAUUGUUAUCAUAUUUAUGGCAAGAAACCAAUUGCUUUGUAUUUCUUUGCCCUUUCCGUUUCCUCUAAGUUGUGAGAAAACCACAUGGGUUGGUUUUUCGGGUUUUCGAAAUUAAAGUCUUUUCGGGAGAGAAAUAUAAUUCAUAGUGAAGUGCAGGUAAAGUAAACUGUUAGUGAGAUACCCAUAUGGUGAAUUUGUGCAAAAUCUGCACAAAUGCAGUGUCACUGUGAUUGUGCAGUUGCAAAUUGCAAUCUGAGCAGUUUGCAAUCUGUGCAGUUAAAAAAAAAAAAAAAAAAAAAGGGUACCCGUGGACCCGGCCCGAAUCGGCCCGUUUCAACCGGGCCGGGUAAUGUGCGGUUCCUAUACUAGAAAAUCCAAUCCCCGCCCCGUCCCGACCCAUUUCGUUUAAGCUCCAGUUCCUACAAACUUAGGUUCGGCCCGGCCCGCCCCGGCCCGUGCCCAGCCCUAAUUCGAGGUACUUGCUAUUUUUCAUCCAUCGUUGAGUCCCGACGACGAUCCAUGAAGAUUAUGCCGCAUGUAUCCAUUUGACCAAGACAUGAUACAUCAACAAAGUCAACGCCAAGACAUAUUGCGUCUACAUCAGCAAAGCAUUAGGAGAUUGAAAUCAUGCAAGCCGAUCCCAAACAACCUGCCGACCUCUACACGACAUCACUGCAGAAGUCAACCUUCCAGAAGCUUGUCUGAGGAAUUGGUAUGCCUAACUAUUCAUAUGCAAUGAUUGUAGUUUCUCAUUUAGAAGUUAUGUCAAACUUAGGGGAGUAUCCAGAUGUAUACUCACUUGAUCUUAAUGUACUUUUUUUUCCCUAUGAUUAUGAGCAAUAUUCCCACUGGGUUUUUGCUACCUAACUAGGUUUUAACGAGGCACUCAUCUUGGGCUGAUCAUACCUUUGUGAGCUCUUCUACUUGCGUCCAAAAGACGUAUAGUUUUGACUUAAUGCAACUUCUCACUUUUCUCCUUAGUUUAUGGGUUUUCUCCCACCUUGGGUUUUACCAUAGCAAGAUUUUGUGAGUUUUACUUUUUAUGCAUUCUUCAGUUGAUCUGAGACUCGCAUUCGCUCAUUGUGCCGACGACUUCAUCAACUAUACUUGUUUCAUCACUGAAGACCUAAUGCGCCAUUUACUUGAGUAUUUACACACCCAAGGGGGAGUGUUGCAGUCCUAUUAGAUUAGGAAUGUGAUUAUGUAAAUCCUAGUAUAUUUUGGAAUAUCUCUUAUAUUCCUAUUAGGAGUUGAUUACAUAUUAAAUGUUGUAAUCAUAAAGGGAAAAGUUUUUACCUAUCCUACUACUAUGAAUAAAGGCACAAUGGGGUGGAAUAAAACACACCCACAAUUACACAUCUCUCAUCUUCUCUCUAUGCCGCACUCUCUCCCUUUCUCUAUGGCCUCCAUAAUUGUUUAGUAAAUUAUGCCUACAACAAGUAUUUGUUAUUAUUUUUUGUGAAAAUAGAGUAUUUAUUUUCGCAUUAAAUCUAUGAUAAUGUAAUUUAUCAAAUACAGUAAAAAAUUCCCUUUAAUUGAAAAAAAAUAUCAAUCUUUAUAAAGAAUUUUAAAUAGGGAACUUUAACGAAAAGCUCCCGAUACUGUUCACUUUAACAAAAAACCACAUUUUUACACUAAAAAGUCAAUCCUGGUACUAUUCACUUUGCCCUUUAUUUUGUCCUUAUCAUUAAAACUCAUAGUUUUCAAGCCUUUUUCAUUAGUUUUCCUUUUUAAAUAUGGUCAAAAUUUUAGUUUAUUUUUUUUUAUCGAACAAAAUUUCAGUUAAAUAGACUUGAAUAUACCUUCAGUUUAUUUGAAUAACUAAUUGUUAAUUAAAAGCUCUGAUCACCAAUUGAUAAUAUGGUCUACCAAAAGGUUUUCUGCCUAUCAUGAAGAAAAUUAAAACUAUAAGAAGGGGAAAAUUUUAAGGAUAUCAAGAAAACGUAUCAUGUGAUAAAUUCAUUUCUACAUGUAAUAAUAAACGUGGUCAUUUAAAGUCGAUGUGUCUUUAGUGAUAUUUCUCUUCAUUUGUUAGUGAAAGGUUUUAGAUUCGAUUAUCGUCAAUGACAAAUUUUAAACCAUAUUAUUGCUAACCCAUUGUGAGACUUAAUCUACUCUCCCACUCAAUUAAUGUAAAUAAUAUCGUUUGUUAAAAACAAAAAGUCGAUAUGUCUCACUCAAAAUAUAUCAAUAAAAAUUAGGGAAGUGUUAUUGACACUCCAAAAAUCUCAUUCUACACUCUUCACAAGUGUAUUUUUUUUCCAAAUAUAGAAAGUUGGAGUGUAGAAUAAGAUUUUUAGAGUGCCAAUAACAAUUCCCAAAAAUUAAACCUAUGUUCAUAAUUUUAACAAAAUAAUAAUGUCUCAUAUUCGGAGUGCACGUCAUGGCACCUAGCUUCAUAUUCUUCUGAGUUCUGAACGUGGAAAGUCUGUCCAGCAUAAUUUUGUUUACUUUUUCUAAUCCAGUUAGUCCUCAUCAGCGUAUAGCAUAUAAGUGGUAUAAAAUCUACAUCACAGCGCGUGGACAGAGAAAGCUGAGUCGAGUCGAGUCGAGGUGAGGUUCGAAUGUGAACUGCGAAAGCAACUAAAUUCUUAAAGAACAAGCGAGUCAACAGAAGAAACGAAGCUACUCGCUGAAGAAGGCACAAAAAUAACAGAUGUCGACGGAGGAAACGUGCAAGCCAAGUAGCCAUGAGUAGUGAGUUAGCCCUAGCUAGUGGGUUACUAGAAAUCUACGCGGUCCAUGUCCAUCAACAUCCACAGUAGUUGUGCUUGCGAUGCUCCUUCAAAAAGUGAGUUCCUAAAGUAUAAGGACUUUCUAGAUACAUAGUGUGUGUCAUUACAUAUAGAGAGUGUAUAGGGACAACAUUGAGUGAAAAAAUGGGGCUCACAAUCUUGAUUGAAGUUUUUAAUGCUUUUAAUUAAUUAAAAUAUGGUUAACAUAAACAAAAAAUGUGUACCUUAAGUGGAAAAUGAGGCUCAUAAUCAUGAUUGAAGAUUGGGUUGUGCUAUCCACACACUGCAUUUUACUUCUCACACAUCCCCUUGAUAAUUUAUGUUUGUUGAUCUUCUUCAAUUCAUCCGAUCCAACGGCUGAAAAUAAAAAAGGUGUGUGAAAGUAAAAUGGGGUGUAUGGAUAUCACACUCCUUGAAGAUUUUACUGUUUUUAAUGAUUUUAAUUAAUUAAAAAAUGUUAACAUAAACAAAAAGUGUGCAGCUGAUCAAAUUAUUACAUAAAAUUAUAAAAACUUCAAAGUUAGGGAUUCUAUUAUAAGGACUCUACCACUGAAGGCAAUAUUCCUUUAGGGACACAAAGAUUCCCUUUAAGUCCUUAAAUGAGUACUCAAAAGUGGUGGUGGAAGUUCCUAAAUGGAGAUGCUAAGUUUUCAAAUAUUUUAAGCCUUAGAUCUAAAUUAAUAUAAUCUUGUGGCUAUUAUGCAUUUGGUACUCACGGAUCCUGAAAAAUGAGGACAUUAGGAGAGCAAGACUCGCAAAGAAAAAUGGAGGAGAAAAUUCCCAAAUCAGUUGGAGAAAUUAAAGGAAAAUACGAAACUUAUACAAUUAAUUGAAAGGAUAAUAUUUAAUAAGCUAAUCUUACAAUUAAGGAAGAGUAUCUAAUUAAUUUAUUAGUUAUUUACGGGUAAAUUAAGAAUGAAAGUAACAAUAAGAUGACGUGGAAUCAUAAUUAUUGGACCUGUUUUAAUAGAGUGGACUAUUCCUAAUAAGGCUCACAUAAAAUGAACUUAUAUCUAGUUUACUCUUUUGUGACUAAAAUGUCACAGGUUCGAGUCAUGAAAUAACCUAUUUUCAGAACAAAAAUAAACUUGCGUAUGAUAAACGUUCCUCUGCAAACUCUCACAAAAUGGAGAGUUUGUUGGUUUAGUGUUGCCUUUUUUCACUUGCAAAAUACAAUUGAUUGCAAUGAACGGAUAAACUUGGGCACUUGUAUACAACGUUAGGUCUUGAGCGAGUUUGUGCAUGUUAUCUUUUCUUGUGUUUUUCUUUUUAAAAGAACGAACAUGUAUCAAUAUUGUAUUGGUCCAUGUCAAAGCGGGGAGCAAGCUCAUUUCCUUAAGAGCAAGUCUACGGGAAUGAACUGUGCCCAGCAUCUAGUCUAAAUAUCAAGCUGAGGGUCAGCGAAUUCACUCUAGCCCGUCGGGCUGCUUGGAACCCAGCCCAAGCCAGGCAACAGACCAGCCUAUUUUUGACAGACCCAAGAGCCGGCUUAUUUGGCUAGCGCGUGGACUAGACUCGCACUUGGCAGCAAGUAUGGGACAAGGGCAGACGCUGUCAGCCCAUUUGUGCUGUAGCGACUUGGCUUGCACAGAGCCGUUGGAUUUCAACCGGUAACAAAAUUUUAAAUUUUACUUUUAAACUGGACCGUCCGAUCACAUAUCAACGGUCCACGUUCCCUCUAAAAGGGGCCCAACGGUCAGAUUUAUGACCGUUGGCCACGUGGCAGAUCCUUAGCUCUUAGAUUUGAAUAUUUUUCAAAUCCAACGGUCCAGAUUAAUUAACUACAUUAAAAUUAAUUAAAAAUUAUAAAAAAAUACAGAAAUUUUCUUUUAUAAAAAAUACAGUAAAAUUUUAAAAAAGUUAGUUUUUUUCUAUAAAUACCUAACCCUCAUCUUCCACCUUACACCACAUUUCAAUAUUUUCUACUUUUUCUAUACUAUCAACAUUUCAAUAAUUUCUACACUUUAAGAGAAAAAAAUGUCUUCGUGGAAGCUCAUUGAAGAUGUUACGUUGUGUGAAUGUUGGGUUCACACUACUUAUGACCCGAUUACGGGUAAUGAGAUGGAUAAGCGAGAAAUGUGGAGUAAAAUUACGAAGGCGUUUUGCGAUGUACAUGGAAAUGACGCCAGAACUAGUCAAGGUCUUCAAGGUCGUUGGAAAAAAACUCAACGCAUCCUUUACUUGUUGGAAAAACGCCAUCUCUCAUGCUUUCGGUAACCUGCGUAGUGGGACAAGUUUAGCGGAUUAGGUGACAAUAUUUUUAUUUAUUUAUAUGCAUUCCACCCACAUCAAUAUUUUAAUUUAUUUAAUUUCGUAUGUAAUUUUUAUGUUAUUUCUUAAGUAAUUUUUAUAUGCAUUCCACCCGCAUCAAAAUUUUAAUUUAUUUAAUUUCUUAUGUAAUUUUAUUUAAUUUCUUAUGUCAUUUUUAUGUAAUUUAUAUGCAUUCCACCCGCAUCAAUAUUUUAAUUUAUUUAUUUGUGUUACACCCGCAUUUUUUAACACUAUCUUAUCCCACAUUUUUAUAGACACUACAAGCUCAAGCAUUCUACAAUUCAAAGAACCAGAACAAAUCAUUCAACAAAUGGGAAUGUUGGGAAAUUGUCAAAGAUUGCCCUAAAUACAAAAUUGUGGCAACCGGUCCAGAAGUUGUCAUGCACGGCAUGGGUCUACAUAGUUCGGCAGAACCAGACACGGCCGAACAAGAACUCGACACAUUUCAAGACACGGAAGGGACGCCUGAACAAGUGCCUGAUACCCAACCGACUCGUCAGUCCCUCAGGCCUCAAGGUAAAAAGGCAUCAAAGAAAAAAGGUAGUUCUUCCAAAAAUGACUACACUAAAUAUAUGGAGGAACUUGCUUGCCAAGGUGAACUGAACAUGGCACGGGAAAAGGCUAGAGAUAAGGAAAAAGUUGUUGCUAUGGCAGCAAUAAUAGCAGCUACUGAGGCCCGUGAUGCGGCAGCUGAUAGACAAAGAGAAAUAGUUAAUCGAGAGAACGAGCUGGUUAGACAAGCACUUCAUCGAGAAAAUGGAAUGCUUAGAGAAGAAAGGAUGGCUCAAGCAGAUCGUGACACUAUGAGCAAGUCUCUACUAGGACUGUCUCCGAAUUCAAAAUAUUUUUGGACAUCGGAAAAAAGAGAUGUCGUGCGAAGGAGGCGUGCAAGAGAUGCGGAAACAAGUCAAGGCGGUUCUAGCUACACAAAUCAUAGCAACCAAGAUCCUAGCACCACAUAUCCUAGCUCCAGAGACUUUGUAUAAUUUUUAUGUAAUUUCUUUUUUUUUUUAGAAUUUUAUUUAAUUUCUUAUGUUUUUUCUUUUUCUUUUUUUGAACUUUAUUUAAUUUCUUAUGUAAUUUUUAUGUUAUUUCUUAUUUCUUUUUAACUUUAUUUAAUUUCUUAUGUUAUUUCUUAUUUAUUUUUAAAACUUUAUUUAUUUUUAUUUUAUUUAUUAUGCAAUUUUAAUGUAAUUAUUUAUUUAUUUUUGUACUUUAUUUAAACACAUGAAAUAAGAUUACAUAAACUCACCAAAUAAGAUUACAUAAACUAACCAAAUAAACUUAAAAACAAAACACACUACAUAGAAUUACAUAAACUUAAAAAAAAAAAACAAUUUAUUCUUCAACCACAAGCCUCAUUUUAAUUAUCUUCGCCUUCAUGCAAUCCCCACUGGUGCUCAAUCAAGUCAUUCUGGCGGGUUACGUGCCAGUAUGGCUCUUGCACAUCAGUGUACCGCUGAACGAUGAAUUCAUUGUAACGUCCAUCGCGUUCCAACGGCUCGUGUUGCACAGGAUCUUCGGUCCGGUCAUGAGUACAGUAAAUACAUGUUCUUGAGUUGUUCAUCGGAUCCGGCUCAUAUUCAUCGACGGCAUCAUAAUCAUACUCAUCUUCAACAAUCAUGUUAUGGAGAAUAAUACACGUCAUCAUGAUGGAUCGAAGAGCCUCGACAUCAAACAUUCUAGUUGUAGCCUUGACAAUCGCCCAACGAGCGUGUAGGAUACGAAAACAAUGCUCGACAUCCUUCCUACACCCUUCUUGACAUUUUGCGAAGUGUUUUUCCUUUUCAGUCUGUGGAUGUGGCAUUGUUUUGACAAACAUUGACCACCUUGGGUAAAUGCCACCUGCAAAGUAGUAUGAUCCCUCGUAUUGGGUACCAUUAACCUAAUAUGUGCAUCUCGGCAAUUUUCCUUGCAGCAGUUCGUCGAACACUAGGGAUUGGGCAAGGACAUUUAGGUCAUUCUGAGCUCCUGGAACACCAAAAAAAGCAUGCCCAAUCCAUGUAUCAAAUGAAGUCACCGCUUCCAAAAUGAUGUUUUUGGCUCAUUUUAUGUCGCCAUAAGCUCCUUGCCACGCAUUUGGACAGUUUUUCCAAGUCCAAUGCAUGCAGUCGAUGCUUCCAAUCAUGCCAGGGAAGCCUCGCAUCUCACCCUUCCUCAGAAGCCUUCGCAUGUCCCUUGGCGUGAGUGUCCGGAGGUACUCAUUGGUGUAUAAGGCUUCAAUUGCAGAGCAAAACCAAAUUAGGGACUCCAGAACAGUUGUUCUUCCCAUCCUCGCGAUCUCAUCCACUUGAUCUGUAGAUGCUCCAUAUGCAAGUAUUCGCAAGGCAACCGUAAUUUUUUGCUCGGGAAUAAGACCUAGAACAUGAAAAGCAUCAUCUUUUUGCAUAAAGUAUGGAUCAUGGUUGCAAAUAGCACUCAUGAUUUUGUCAAACAAAUUUCGUUGCAUUCUAAAACGACGUCUAAAAACAUGAUUAGGGAAUAUGCUGUUGGGAAUAAAAUAAUCUUCUAAGAGAUCUUUACCUCGUCUUUCCCUUUUUCUAUCGAGGUUUGCAGCACGUCUGGGUUUGGCUAUCUGACUAACGGCUUCUAUGACACGGCGGGAAUGUGAGGCCCUCUGCCUUUUAUGGUGAUCAUCCUCAUCCUCCUCCAUGAAGAAAGCCUCAUCUCCACCCCCACCUUCCUCGAGAUUGGCCAAUUCUGCCUGUUGUGCCAACAACCUUUUCUGUUGCUCCUGCAACUGUUUAUAAACUCUCCUUGAAGAAGACAUUGUAAUAAGAACUCAAGAUUUGAAAACGAUAAACAAGGAUUUUGAGCUAAAAAUAAGGAUUGAGCUGGGUGUGAGGAUGGAUGUAGGGAUGUAGGGUUUAUAUGGACAAAAAAAGAAAGGAUGAGGUUCUGGACAAUGCCACGUGGCACUACAUGAUUGGUUGAAAAUCCUAUCGAAAUCUUGGCUAAAUUAUUGUAAACUGGAAGUGACACGUGGCACGUCGGGAUUGGUCGAAAAUCUUAUCGGAAAUCUAUCCACAAAAUAGUACGUUCGGAUAUUGACACGUGGCAUGACGUGAUUAGUUGAAAAUCUUAUCGAAAUCUUGGCUAAAUUAUUGUAAAACGGAAGUGACACGUGGCACGUCGGGAUUGGUUGAAAAUCUUAGAGGAAAUCUAUUCACAAAAUAGUACGUUCGGAUAAUGACACGUGGCAUAACGAGAUUGGUUAAAAAUCCUAUCCGAAAUUAAAACUAUUUUAUUUUUUUUAUUCUUUUAGAAAAAAUUUAAAAAUAUUUUAAAUGGGCUGGGUGCCAGCACAUUUUGUAGGGGUGGAGAUCGUUUGUGCCAACGCAUUUUUUCACUAGGUGCCAUCGCAUUUUUUUAGGGGUGGAGAUGCAUUGGCCUAUUACUGUUCAUUGUAGUCUAUUAUUGUUCACUGGAGUGGAUAAAUGGGCUAGGUGUUGGCACAAAGUCCUUAGGGGUGGACUUGCUCUAAGAGCCGAAUGCAAGUAUUGUCUGUUUUUUUUUAAUAUUAAUUAGCUCGAACUCUUUUCUAAUAUUAUCAUCAAGUAUAGAGAUUUAUUAUAAAAAUAAUUUAUAAAUCAUCUUAUAGGGUUCUUGUAAGAUCCCACAUCGAUCAAUGGAGAAUGGGUGAUGUGCCUUAUAUGUACAUGCUCCUCUCCCUAUAGUACGAGGCCUUUUGGGAACUCACUGGCUUCGGAUUACAUUGAAACUCCGAAGUUAAGAGAGUUCGGGCAAGAGCAAUCUUAGGAUGGGUGACCCACUGGGAAGUUCUUGUUUGAGUUCCCAAAAACAAAUUCGUAAGGGAAUAGUAAGCCCAAAGUGAACAAUAUUGUACUACGGCGGAGGCGAGUUUAGGAUGUGACAGAAUGGUAUCAGAGCCAUUUUGUCGUUCGGUCACUGGCGAGGACGCCAGGUUCCCCUUAAGUGGGGUGGAUUGUAUGAUCCCAUAUCGACUAACAUAGAUGGGGUGAUAUGCCUUAUAUGUACAUGCUCAUCUCCCUAUAGUACGAGGCCUUUUGGGAAUCAUUGGCUUCGGAUUCCAUCGGAACUCCAAAGUUAAGCAAAUUCGGACGAGAGCAAUCCUAGGAUGGGUACCCCACUAGGAAGUUCUCGUCUGAGUUCUCAGAAACAAAUUCACGAGGGAAUGGUAAGUCCAAAGCAGACAAUGUUGUGCUACGGCGAAGGCUGGGACGUGACAAUUCUACUCAUGCAUCAUGAGUUCAAAAUUCCUCUUUUAAAUUAUUAUAAUAUUUCUUAAUCGUCUGCCCUGAAUAAUAAUAAUUUAAAAAAAAUCAUCCCAAUUAGAAAUAUACAUAAAAAAUUAAAAAACAAAGAAUGCAAAUAUAGCAUAAGUAUUACGAAAUAUAUAAUACAAAGUCUCAUAAAAUUAAGAACAAAAUAUGUUCCCAAAUGAUCACGAAAACAAAUCCAUUACCUCUUCUAUGUUUCAAUAUAAACAUCGAAUCAGAAAAUAAAAGAUAAAAAUCUGACUAUGAUCUAUAGGAAUAAAUAUACAUCAAAACUAAAACUAUAUGUAUGUCAACGCCAAUGGAGGAAGAAAAAUAUAAAUUAAACAUGUAACAAAUUAAGAAAUCAACUGCAGCUUCGUCAAAUCAUAUUGGUGAUAACCCGGUGGUGCCAAAUGUAGAUCCAAAUUCAAGUCCAGAUUCAAGCACGACACCCUUUUGCUGCUAUUCGACUUCUUCAAAACCGGCAUCGGCGGUGACGCCUGAGUCCGAACAGCCGCAGCUUGCAUGACUUCCCUAUGUCUCCUCAUGUGUCCCCCAAGCGCUUGCCCAAUCGCAAACUCAAGCCCGCAAAUCGGGCACUCGUGCGUCUUGGGCUUAACCGGCGACCCCGGUGACUGUGCCAAAUGUAAAAGGUCGGCAGCCCCACCGGGCAUCAGCUUCGGCUUCUUGUGACUCGCUCUAUGGCCUCCGAGGGCCUGGAACGAGGGAAACUCCCGAUUACACGUCUUGCAUACGAAAACUCGGUCUUUGUUCGUGUUCUCGUGUUUGAUUGGGGAGGAAUCGGGUUCCCUGGACAAAAGCAUUAGGCAAUUGACCAAGUCUAAGGUCUCGUCUUCCCUGCUUCUCUUCAUGGCUGACAGGUUUAAGGUUUCGGGUUUAGGGUUCAGCUCGCAGGAGCAAAGCGAAGAAGUAAGCUGGAAAGGAAAGAUUUGGAAGUGGAUGAGAUUUGUGUGUGUGUUUUCGA
rnacentral:lncRNA from 1 species